AGAGUUUGAUCCUGGCUCAGAAUGAACGCUGGCGGCGUGCCUAACACAUGCAAGUCGAGCGAGAAAGUCUCUUCGGAGAUAAGUACAGCGGCGGACGGGUGAGUAACGCGUGAGAAUUUACCCUUUAGUGAAGAAUACCUCUGAGAAAUCAGGGUUAAUACUGCAUACGUCCCUACGGGGAGAAAGGUGGCCUCUUUGCUGCCGCUAAAGGAUAAGCUUGCGUACUAUUAGCUAGUUGGUGAGGUAAAGGCUCACCAAGGCGAUGAUGGUUAGCCGGCCUGAGAGGGUGUACGGCCACACUGGAACUUAGACACGGUCCAGACUCCUACGGGAGGCAGCAGUGAGGAAUAUUGCGCAAUGGGCGAAAGCCUGACGCAGCGACGCCGCGUGGAGGAUGAAGGUCUUCGGAUUGUAAACUCCUGUUGAGUGGGAAGAAAGACCUAUUUCUAAUACAGACAGGGGAUGACGGUACCAUUAGAGAAAGCACCGGCUAACUUCGUG
rnacentral:rRNA from 1 species